CUUCUCCUCCUCCUUGUGGUCACCACAGUUGUAUGUUGGGUUUGGAUCUGUAGAAAAAGAAAACGGGAGCAGCCAGACCCUAGCACAAAGAAGCAACACACCAUCUGGCCCUCUCCUCACCAGGGAAACAGCCCGGACCUAGAGGUCUACAAUGUCAUAAGAAAACAAAGCGAAGCUGACUUAGCUGAGACCCGGCCAGACCUGAAGAAUAUUUCAUUCCGAGUGUGUUCGGGAGAAGCCACUCCCGAUGACAUGUCUUGUGACUAUGACAACAUGGCUGUGAACCCAUCAGAAAGUGGGUUUGUGACUCUGGUGAGCGUGGAGAGUGGAUUUGUGACCAAUGACAUUUAUGAGUUCUCCCCAGACCAAAUGGGGAGGAGUAAGGAGUCUGGAUGGGUGGAAAAUGAAAUAUAUGGUUAUUAGGACAUAUAAAAAACUGAAACUGACAACAAUGGAAAAGAAAUGAUAAGCAAAAUCCUCUUAUUUUCUAUAAGGAAAAUACACAGAAGGUCUAUGAACAAGCUUAGAUCAGGUCCUGUGGAUGAGCAUGUGGUCCCCACGACCUCCUGUUGGACCCCCACGUUUUGGCUGUAUCCUUUAUCCCAGCCAGUCAUCCAGCUCGACCUUAUGAGAAGGUACCUUGCCCAGGUCUGGCACAUAGUAGAGUCUCAAUAAAUGUCACUUGGUUGGUUGUAUCUAACUUUUAAGGGACAGAGCUUUACCUGGCAGUGAUAAAGAUGGGCUGUGGAGCUUGGAAAACCACCUCUGUUUUCCUUGCUCUAUACAGCAGCACAUAUUAUCAUACAGACAGAAAAUCCAGAAUCUUUUCAAAGCCCACAUAUGGUAGCACAGGCUGGCCUGUGCAUCGGCAAUUCUCAUAUCUGUUUUUUUCAAAGAAUAAUAAAAUCAAAUAAAGAGCA
rnacentral:lncRNA from 1 species